rnacentral:tRNA from 1 species
AUUUAGGUAGUUUAAUAAAAACAUUGACUUGUGGUGUCAAAUUUAUAUAUAUAGUAUUCUAAAUA